rnacentral:rRNA from 1 species
UGUUGGUAAAUCUCGUGCCAGCCACCGCGGUUAUACGAAAGGCCCCAGUUGACAACUACGGCGUAAAGGGUGGUUAAGGGUAUCCACUAAUAAGGUUAAAGAGCUCCCAAGCUGUCGCACGCAUUAUGGAAACUCGAGACCCAAGAACGAAAGUUACCUUAGAAUAAUAACACCUGAACCCACGAAAGCUGAGAAACAAACUAGGAUUAKAUACCCCA